rnacentral:rRNA from 1 species
GAUGAACGCUGGCGGCGUGCCUAAUACAUGCAAGUCGAGCGAACGGACGAGAAGCUUGCUUUUCUGAUGUUAGCGGCGGACGGGUGAGUAACACGUGGAUAACCUACCUAUAAGACUGGGAUAACUUCGGGAAACCGGAGCUAAUACCGGAUAAUAUUUUGAACCGCAUGGUUCAAAAGUGAAAGACGGUCUUGCUGUCACUUAUAGAUGGAUCCGCGCUGCAUUAGCUAGUUGGUAAGGUAACGGCUUACCAAGGCAACGAUGCAUAGCCGACCUGAGAGGGUGAUCGGCCACACUGGAACUGAGACACGGUCCAGACUCCUACGGGAGGCAGCAGUAGGGAAUCUUCCGCAAUGGGCGAAAGCCUGACGGAGCAACGCCGCGUGAGUGAUGAAGGUCUUCGGAUCGUAAAACUCUGUUAUUAGGGAAGAACAUAUGUAUAAGUAACUGUGCACAUCUUGACGGUACCUAAUCAGAAAGCCACGGCUAACUACGUG